rnacentral:rRNA from 1 species
GACGAACGCUGGCGGCGUGCCUAAUAUAUGCAGGUAGAACGCACAGUUUAUACCGUAGCUUGCUACACCAUAGACUGUGAGUUGCGAACGGGUGAGUAACGCGUAGGUAACCUGCCUGGUAGCGGGGGAUAACUAUUGGAAACGAUAGCUAAUACCGCAUAAUAUUAAUUAUUGCAUGAUAAUUAAUUGAAAGGUGCAAUUGCACCACUACCAGAUGGACCUGCGUUGUAUUAGCUAGUAGGUGAGGUAACGGCUCACCUAGGCGACGAUACAUAGCCGACCUGAGAGGGUGAUCGGCCACACUGGGACUGAGACACGGCCCAGACUCCUACGGGAGGCAGCAGUAGGGAAUCUUCGGCAAUGGACGAAAGUCUGACCGAGCAACGCCGCGUGAGUGAAGAAGGGUUUCGGAUCGUAAAGCUCUGUUGUAAGAGAAGAACGGGUGUGAGAGUGGAAAGUUCACACUGUGACGGUAGCUUACCAGAAAGGGACGGCUAACUACGUG